AACAUCUAAACUUUCAUCUGAUCAUUCUAUUUGUUUUGCUUCAUCAAGGAUACAGUAGGAGUGAAUAAAUGGGCUCUGUCUGCACUCCUUGACCCUUUGGAGAGCCGACCACGGUGGCAAGUUCACAAGAAGAGUUGGGCAGAACACGGGCGUGCACCUCCGUCUUGUGUGGAGACACUAGAGACAGUAGAGCUUGCUCCUCUUUGCCGAAUUCUUCUCUCAGUUCAGCUGUCCUUGAACUCACAACUGUCAUCCUCUUUGGGAUUCCACACGUGAGCCACCUUGCAGCUCAGGGUACAGUUUUAUGGUGUCCUUUUUCCCCAUCAAAUUAUUGUUAUGGACUGCUGAUGCCAAGCUUCAUAAAGGCUCUGCUUGACAAAGAUCACAGUGCUUGGACGACUUGGACUGAUCCUUCACUGCCCUUAAUGGAAUUUGCUGAACAAGUCUUGUCUAUGUCUUUGGCAAGCUUAAUGUUUGAACUCCUUGCUGUUAAGGUCUGCUUACUGAAGGCUAGAACUGUAAUGUAACAAUUCUUAUGAAAGCUGAUGUUACCGAAGGCUGGAACUAAGACAAUGUAACAAUUCUUAUGAAAGCUGAUGUUAGUAAAAGAAGAGUAAAACUUAUGGUGAUUCCCUGGGAGAAUUAGUUGUACAAGCAAUCAAGUCUUCUAUAGAGUUUACUGUGUAAGUGGUAUUAGUAAGUAUAAGACAUAGGAUCUGGAAUAAACUGUUAAAGAAGAUCUUAGGGAAAUUGUAGAAGCUGAGAAAAAUAUGUGUUUUGUUUCAGAAAUACAGAACUAGCAUGAACAAUAACAAAAAGGAUUCUUGGUUAUAAAAAUCAAUGACAGGCCUUGGUGCCCUCCUGAAGGCAAAGGACGCAGUUUUAGGAAUCUUGAUGUCCUUUACCGUCUGCAGGAUUGUGAUAAAGAUAGAGACCAUAUUGAAACAAGAGUUUGUGACAGGCACACAAAAGAGAAAUGUCUUGGCUCAAUAAGCUGCCUGGCUUCCAGAGCAGACUGUCAGGGCAGGACUUUUUUGAUUGUAGAAAGAGUAAGGAGCAGAACUUCAGAAGUUAGGAGAGAGUGGUAGUCUCAUGCUAGACAUAAAAGAAGGAAUUUGAGAGCCGGGCAUUGGUGGUGCA